rnacentral:rRNA from 1 species
UCGGGAAUUUUGUGCAAUGGGCGAAAGCCUGACACAGCAACGCCGCGUGAAGGAUGAAGUCCCUCGGGAUGUAAACUUCGUAAGAAUAGGAAGAAUAAAUGACGGUACUAUUUGUAAGGUCCGGCUAACUACGUGCCAGCAGCCGCGGUAAUACGUAGGGACCAAGCGUUGUUCGGAUUUACUGGGCGUAAAGGGUGCGUAGGCGGCAUAUCAAGUCACUUGUGAAAUCUCCGGGCUUAACUCGGAACUGCCAAGUGAUACUGAUGUGCUAGAGUGCAGAAAGGGCAACUGGAAUUCUUGGUGUAGCAGUGAAAUGCGUAGAUAUGCGGAGGAACACCGAUGGCGAAGGCAAUCCCCUGGACCUGUACUGACGCUCAUGCACGAAAGCGUGGGGAGCAAACAGGAUUAGAUACCCGCGUAGUCCCUGAGCGGGCUGGCAAGGCGCAU